CUUUCUCGGAGUCCAAACAGAAAAAGAGAAGAUCUCCGUGCUAAUAACUACAAGUUUAGGAGACAUAGUGGUUGAUUUAUUCACAGAGAAGUGCCCCUUGACCUGCAAGAAUUUCUUGAAGCUUUGCAAGAUUAAGUAUUAUAAUGGCUGCCUAUUUCACACGGUUCAGAAGGAUUUUACUGCACAGACUGGUGACCCAACUGGUACAGGAACUGGUGGUGAUUCAGUUUACAAAUUUCUUUACGGUGAUCAGGCUCGAUUUUUUAGUGAUGAAAUCCAUCUUG
rnacentral:misc_RNA from 1 species